GACUUCAUGGCGCCCACCGCCACCCCAUGGGCUGUCAUCUGCACCAUUAUGAAGAGGUGGCCGCGGAAACAGAUGAUCUGAUUCUGGUUAACAUUGAUGAUGGCAUCGUGUCGUCUUCCUCGUCCGACGGGGUUGACCUGCCGGACGUCCCGCUGGCGGCCAGAGAGUGUUUUCUAACACGGGCGGAGGGUCUCCAGAUGCACUCAUGACCUGG